rnacentral:rRNA from 1 species
GACAGAGGGUGCAAACGUUGUUCGGAAUUACUGGGCGUAAAGCGCGUGUAGGCGGCUACGUGUGUCGGGCGUGAAAAUCCAGGGCUUAACUCUGGACUGGCUUCCGAUACGGGCAGACUAGAGGUAUGCAGGGGAGAACGGAAUUCCUGGUGUAGCGGUGAAAUGCGCAGAUAUCAGGAGGAACACCGGUGGCGAAGGCGGUUCUCUGGGCAUUACCUGACGCUGAGGAGCGAAAGUGUGGGGAGCGAACAGG